GAUGCACAUGGCCAUGACAGCAAGGAAAAGAGAUGACUAUUCAUUCACUGCCUCUGUACAAAGAUACUUGGUUUUAGGACUUUGGUCCCUUAUCAUAUGACAAACAUUAGCUUCUCUGGAGCUCUCUUCAAGACUGUAUGCCACACAACAGUAGUGAGAAGCACACUAAAAAAAUGUUCUUAAUUCAUUUUAACCAUCCCCCUAAUCAGGCUGUUUUUAUGAUGACACGAUGUUAGCUUGUUCUCAGACACUGCUGCUUUUGCAGGUGAUAAUGAUGCUUUUGUCAUCUUGUGAAAUAUUAUUUGAAUAUGCCCCAAACCUGUGGAGGUGGUUCCCAUGAUUUGGGAAUGAAUCUAUAUAGCCAUGGGGAACAUAUGAUGCCAUAAAGAUGUAGUAGAGGAAACAGAUCAGUUUCUCCUCCCUGCUACUUCACUCCCCUUGGGCAGUGAACAAAAGUACCCAUGUACAUAUGAAACUUCCUACAGAAAAUAAGAAGAUGAGACUCUUGAGGCAGAUGGCAUUUUUCAUCAUGAAUCCUUUGGGAUUUUCUUUCAUCAUUGUAUUGCUGAAAAUAGAUUCUUUCCCUGCCUGCUUCACUGUCUGGUCUGUUCAAGUUGUGGCAGUAAAUCGGUGGCUGAGGCUGCAUAUGAGCCUGAUUAUCUACUACUGCCUUUGGUUUAUCCUUCUGGUACCCCAAGGCAUCUUCAUUUUGACACCGGCAAAAAAUGAGCAACUGACAGCAUCUCUCACCAUACUCAAUGCUAUGUCAGGCUUAUAACGUGGACAAAUCAUCCAAACAGAUACAUUCUGUUUAUGCUGUAUAUAAGAUUACAACAUGGAGUGGGGCAAAACUUCUCAACUGAAAUAGGUCUUCCUUUUUCCCAAUUACAUUCAUUUUAGGUAAAAAUAUUCUUAAGCUUGACAUUCUGCUUCAUCCACUUCUAUGUUAUUAUUUUAGGUCAGGUUAGCAUAGUCCACAAUUCUAGGUGUCUGUCCAUCACAUUUCCUUGGAGGUAGCCUCUACUGAUUAAUAUGACUGCAUAUCUUUAGAGCAACCAACAAAGUGUGUGGCCAAAGACACGGCUUAAGAGUUAUUCAUUCAAUAUAGAAGAGAAACAAAAAAUAACGAACUAAAAUGAAAAGGAGGUAGAAUUAGAAAAUUCUAGGGGGCUGAAAAUUGAGAUAAGGUAGAACAUGGAAAAGUACCUCCUGCCUGCUUUGGCUCUUAUGUAGAGCUGAUUCUUCCUGGCCUGAUACCUGUUGUCUUUAUUAGGCAUGUUGGACUAGCCAGGGGCUGAGAAUCUUGUGGAUUUGUGGCUCUUCAGAUGUGCUUCUGUAUUGGAAUGUGUUUGUAUUUUCCCUUAUUUGUUUUUAAUUGAAAAAAUAUUUGUAUAGCAGCAGUAACAUUCCUGUGGGGAGUCUAUAAAGUUCUUCUGGCAGCUUCUGGGGACAAGUGUGGCUCUGCAUUCAAGGCCUUGUGCUUAAGAUAAUGAAGCAACCCUUUCUUUGGCCACUGAACAGGAAGCGCCAUUGCUUCAGGGACCCUUAAAAAGGGAGCCACUAUAUUUUCUGGUGAUUGUUUCCUUUAGUGUAGCAACUAGCUCUCCCCUCUUGGAUUUCCAAUGGUCAGCAAAGGGGGGCCUUUCCUCUAUCCUUAUGGAAAAGGAGGGCUGCCAGCACAUUGUAAUAAAGCACAUAGUGACUUAGGGUUGACA
rnacentral:lncRNA from 1 species